rnacentral:rRNA from 1 species
UGGAUUGCACGUCUAAGCAGUAAGGCUGAGUAUUAGGCAAAUCCGGUACUCGUUAAGGCUGAGCUGUGAUGGGGAGAAGACAUUGUGUCUUCGAGUCGUUGAUUUCACACUGCCGAGAAAAGCCUCUAGAUAGAAAAUAGGUGCCCGUACCGCAAACCGACACAGGUAGUCAAGAUGAGAAUUCUAAGGUGAGCGAGCGAACUCUCGUUAAGGAACUCGGCAAAAUGACCCCGUAACUUCGGGAGAAGGGGUGCUCUUUAGGGUUAACGCCCAGAAGAGCCGCAGUGAAUAGGCCCAAGCGACUGUUUAUCAAAAACACAGGUCUCUGCUAAACCGUAAGGUGAUGUAUAGGGGCUGACGCCUGCCCGGUGCUGGAAGGUUAAGAGGAGUGGUUAGCUUCUGCGAAGCUACGAAUCGAAGCCCCAGUAAACGGCGGCCGUAACUAUAACGGUCCUAAGGUAGCGAAAUUCCUUGUCGGGU